AAGCACUCAGCAGCAUAUAUACUAAAACUGGAAAUACAAAGAAGAUAAGCAUGGCCCCUGCCCAAGGAUGACACACAAAUUCGUAAAAAGCACUCAUGGAUA